AUAUUGCGCAAUGGGGGGAACCCUGACGCAGCAACGCCGCGUGAGUGAAGAAGGUUUUCGGAUCGUAAAGCUCUGUCAUUGGGGACGAAAAGAUGACGGUACCCAAGGCGGAAGCCCCGGCUAACUACGUGCCAGCAGCCGCGGUAAUACGUAGGGGGCGAGCGUUACCCGGAAUUAUUGGGCGUAAAGGGUGCGUAGGCGGCCUUUUAAGUCAGAUGUGAAAGGCUACGGCUUAACCGUAGUUAGCAUUUGAAACUAAAAGGCUUGAGUGCAGGAGAAGAGAGUGGAAUUCCUAGUGUAGCGGUGAAAUGCGUAGAUAUUAGGAGGAACACCAGUGGCGAAGGCGACUCUCUGGACUGCAACUGACGCUGAGGCACGAAAGCGUGGGGAGCGAAC
rnacentral:rRNA from 1 species